rnacentral:rRNA from 1 species
GACGAACGCUGGCGGCGUGCCUAAUACAUGCAAGUCGAACGAAGUGGCGAACGGGUGAGUAAUACGUGGGUAACCUGUGCUCCUUUUCGGGAUAAGCCUUGGAAACGGGGGCUAAUACCGAAUAAGGGGUGAUGGGCUCGCGGCCUAUCAGCUUGCUUGUGGGGUGAUGGCCUCCCAAGGCGGUGACGGGUAGCCGGCCUGAGUGGGUGACCGGCGACAUGGGGACUGGGAUAAGGCCCAGGUGAGUCAGGGGGGCAGAAGUGGGGGAAAUUGGCCAAUGGUGGAAAGGCGGAUGCCGCGUCGGCGAGUAGGGUUUGCGGACUGUAGGGUUUUGAAGUUCUUGAGGUAUCGAACGGGUAGGUGAAAAAGAAGCGCCGGCUAACUACGUGCCAGCAGCCGCGGUAAUUC